rnacentral:rRNA from 1 species
AAAGCGUGCGUAGGCGGCUUUUUAAGUCGGAUGUGAAAUCCCCGAGCUUAACUUGGGAAUUGCAUUCGAUACUGGGAAGCUAGAGUAUGGGAGAGGAUGGUAGAAUUCCAGGUGUAGCGGUGAAAUGCGUAGAGAUCUGGAGGAAUACCGAUGGCGAAGGCAGCCAUCUGGCCUAAUACUGACGCUGAGGUACGAAAGCAUGGGGAGCAAACAGGAUUAGAUACCCCUGU